UACGUAGGGUGCGAGCGUUGUCCGGAAUUACUGGGCGUAAAGAGCUCGUAGGUGGUUUGUCGCGUUGUUCGUGAAAUCUCACGGCUUAACUGUGAGCGUGCGGGCGAUACGGGCAGACUAGAGUACUGCAGGGGAGACUGGAAUUCCUGGUGUAGCGGUGGAAUGCGCAGAUAUCAGGAGGAACACCGGUGGCGAAGGCGGGUCUCUGGGCCGUAACUGACGCCGAGGAGCGAAAGCGUGGGGAGCGAACAGG
rnacentral:rRNA from 1 species